rnacentral:rRNA from 1 species
GACGUAGGGCGCGAGCGUUGUCCGGAUUUAUUGGGCGUAAAGAGCUCGUAGGCGGCUUGUCGCGUCGGCUGUGAAAUCCCGUGGCUCAACUGUGGGCGGGCAGCUGAUACGGGCAGGCUGGAGUUCGGUAGGGGAGACUGGAAUUCCUGGUGUAGCGGUGAAAUGCGCAGAUAUCAGGAAGAACACCAAUGGCGAAGGCAGCUCUCUGGGACGGUACUGACGCUGAGACGCGAAAGCGUGGGGAGCGAACAGG